rnacentral:lncRNA from 1 species
AUUAGAACUUAACUGAAGUAACUAAUUCAAAAAGAUUUAUAUAGAUACAUAGGGACCGACAAGGCCGUUGACAUGUCAUACCUAAAACUAUACACAAGACACUGUUUGCAAAAUCUCUAAGAAAACAUGACCAUAAUAUAUAAGUCGGGACAAGGUUCCCGACAUCCUCAUUAAAUAAAAUAACAUAUAUAGAACGUGACUCGGCAAUACUCCAGGAAGAAGUGGAGCUCACCAACCAAAAGCUGAUAUCUGGAGGCAGCCUACAGUAGAGGGUCCUCACCUCGCCUAUCUAUACCUGCGUGGCAUGAAACACAGCGCCCCGGGAAAAGGGACGUCAGUACGAAGAAUGUACCGAGUAUGUAAGGCAAAAAUAAAAUGUAAUAAGAUACUAUCUCGGGGAGGGAUAAGAGUCAACUUAUAACUUCUGACUUGCCGCUAAGGGCCAUAACAUAUAGCAUAAAACCCAUCUCAUAUAUAUAAAUAAAACUACAAUAUAAUAAUUCUGAUUACAUCAUUCUUGUGACGUUCACUGCCCAACUGAUCAGUGGUAACUAUCUGACUGGCCGUAGCGCGGUGGUAAAUGCAUGACUGCUCGACCGGCCAUAGCUCGGUGGUAAAUGUGUAACUGCCCAACCGACCGUAGCUCGGUGGUAAAUACAUGACUACCCGGACGGCCGUAGCUCGGUGAUAAAUGCAUGACUGCCAGACCGGUCGUAGCUCGGUGGUAAAUGUGUAUGCAUGUCUGCCCAACCAGCCGUAGCACGGUGGUAAAUUCAUGAAGAUGCAUGUAUCACUAUAUUAUAAACAUUAACAUUACAUUUACAUAGCGUUACUUGGAUCAUGCCAAAAGAAAGAAGGAUUAUCCUUAACAUACCUUUAAUGUCAACUUCCUACUUGUAUAUGUAAGCAAUCUCCUCAAUCUUAUAUGCCAAAACUAGUUUUCUUCCACCGUACUUCAUUACGAAGAAAUCUCCAAAUUUUUAUCAUCUUGAGGAAACCAAUAUGGAAAUACACAUCUAUGUUCUUCACGGUUUGCUUUAAUGCAAAGAGAUAUAUCUACCUUUGUAGCUCAAAUUUCUCAAGGUCCGUUUCUAAUCUUGUUGAGAAGAUGCAAACAAAUAUAUUUUUCUUGUUAAAAACGUUGCUUGUGAUAUG